rnacentral:lncRNA from 1 species
AUAACCUUCACCUUCCACAACCACUUCUAACCAUGAAAACAACCACAAUACAAACUCGCAUCAAUUGAUACACUAUCACAUGGAAAAAGAGAAAACUAAGAAACACAAUUUUUUUAAAAAAAUAUAAUAGAGAGGAGGAAACAUGUUUCAUUACUACAAGUUUUAAAACCACACAUAACCUACAACAAAGGCCACCUUUUUCUUUACUCUCACACAUAUCUCUAUUGUACUUCUUCUUACCUUAUAAACAAC